GCACCUUUGCCUCGAACUCCUUCAGCGCGUUCGGCUCGAUGUUGAGCUACCACUCCAGGUAGGAGCACAUCUCGCGCUCCAUCUGGUUGAUCUCCCGGAGGGCGAACAUGCCAUGGAUGAUCGACCACGACUUGUUCCAAUACAUAUCGUCGCAGAUCACCUUGGACGCGAUCAUGAACGCCGAGAUAAAUAAACGAUGGCCUGAGGAUCCCCGCGCGGCGGGGAACCGGGCUUUUAGGCGUUGCAGAAGGUAGAGUGCCGCGAACGUAACGGACGAAUGCAGUUGGGUACGAUGGAGGGCGUAGGCGAUGAAGUUCGCAAGGGGAGGAGGAGGUGCAUGAGGAACGGUGGUGGAGGGUGGCGGCAAAUCCGGACACGCAAAUAAAUGGGUGAUGAAUCGUGCGCAGAGCUUGGCGGUCUCUUCAUGACCGUAGUAUAGAUCCUAGAAGAGUUAAAACGGAGGAGUGUCAGCACUCAAAUAGGCAACUCACAGGUAGCCCCUUUACUUACCACAUGGGAUGAACUCGAACCCGAGGAGCGGGAGGACAUCCUUGUCUCUCUCCUCGUAUGAGAGGGGCGGAGGACGGUGGCUGAACUUGAUACGGACACGGCGGCCACAGGAAAUAUCGUAUCCGAAGGAAGAAGUGGGAACCCGGGUGACGACAAUCAAGACCGGGGUCGUCAGGAAGGAUCAAAUUCCCGCUUUUGAGGGAACUGUGUGUGCAAGGAAAGAGGUAGAACAGAAAGUGGGGACACUGCAACACCGAAAAUUCAGCGCACGAACCACCGAGGCCAGUGAGGGCUCACCUUUAUACCACAUGAAACUGUGGCGCGAGCCAUGCAAGCCGAGGCGAGCGCAAAAGCGUCGCAUGCCGCGAUUCCGAUUGUGACCAGCCAUAUCGCGGAGGCACCAGGAGGACAAACGGCAGGAACGAGGUGACAUUGGAAGGAGCGUCCGUUGCGGGGCAUGAGACAUGCCUCAUCGGCUACGGCAGAAUAUUACGCAUCGGAUAAAAAUGAGGUAAGCUGUAUUGUUCUAAGCAUCGAUUUGGGAACAAAACGAGGAGUACGAGGCGUUCAGGUGCUGCGACUUGAAGGGCUCCUCAGUCGAACUCAUUGAACCGUGACUAUAAGCGGUGCUUACUGAAGGCGGUUUACUGAAUGAGCAAUAGGGUAUGCACUUUGAUGUUGUACAGCCCAUUGCCUACGUCGAAUUGGAGAAUGAAAAGGGGAAAGAGGGAUUAGGAGGGAGCAACAAUUGUUAAGGACACGAGGAGGAGGUGGUUUCGAGGCAAGUGAGGUGGAAGCGCUCAUCGCCACAACAUGUUCAGUUCGAUCGAGAUCUUCGACACUACGUGUGCCCUCACUUGCUUGCAAGUUCGACUCUCCCGGAGCGCAAAGUUUUGUGACAAUUUUUUGUGGCUGAUGUUCUGCUUUGAGCUUGAGGAUAUAGCAGCUACCUUCGAAGUGUAGUCGAAAUAUUCGUUUUAAAUCAGGUAUUGCGGAGCCCUAGACCGCUGCUCAUUGUCGCUACAAGAUAUGCAGAAUAUUGUCCAUGAUUGAGAUGGAGUCGGUGACCUUAUAUUGCAUCCUUCUCUAGUGGCCUGAAUGCUCCAAUCUCUUCAGAAUUACCAGGGCGGCUGGAGCUGAAGUGAGAUGGAUCCAAGGGAGCAAAUUUAAAACCAAAUAAAUUAAAAAUAACGGUGUUGUAACGAGCGACACGAGCUGGGCUAGAGAUAGGACUACAAUGACAUGUACAACGAGUGGGCAGGGGAGGGAUUGCUGCUGAAACCAACUAUGCGAAUCCGCACCUACAUAAUACUAGAUUACACAAUAUACAACAUCUGGAAUUCACGGAUGUGUCCCGAGCAAUCGAAUCCCGGUCUAGAAGCGUCACAAUGAGGCCUCUUCGUCCGCCACAGACAAGACUCAAGUCUCAGACCCUGAAGGGAUGCGGCUUCUACCACACACACUUCAUCGCGCGUGCGAGUAAACUCCUAGUCGUCGGAAGGCCCUGCGUAGCAGUGGCACUGCCUGCCAUUGCAUCAGACGACCGGGGCUCCUGUGGUUGAGCGGUGACUGUCGGGAAGAUUGUCCCCUUCCCAGCGCCGACGGCCGGAAACGAGAGGCCCUCGCAUCCGGCGGGGGUCGCUGGCGAUACUACGCUCCACGCCGGUGAUGAAGACAUCGACCCAGAUAGCUCUGGGGUGCACUCCAUGGCAUCCGUCGAAGGGCUGGUGUGAAUAGGAGGAGAAGGAUCCACGUCCAUCGGGGAAGUCGACGGCGACCGAGCCGACGGCUUCGGUGCAGCCGGUGGUUGAGCGACGGGUGCCACCACGCGGACUGCACAUGCGGCCGCGGCCUUGGGGGGCCCUCUGAAUGGUCGGUAUGGGUGCACGCCGGGACCGGGGAGGCUGUACGUCGUGUACGGCCCGGGGCCGCUGAAAAUGCGCCGUAUCCUGGUCUCGAAUUCGAGGAGCGCGGCGGGGUCGACGCUGAGGUCCCAGUUCAGGUAGGCAAGCACUUCGCGCUCCAUCUGGCUGAUGUCCUUGACCGGAAACAUGUCGCGCGCGACGACCGCCCACGACCUGUUCGAGUAGCAGUCGUCUUGAACCAGCUUGCAGGUGAUCAUGAACGUCGUGAUGAUCAGCCGGUGUCCUGAGCUGCCCUUAGCGAUUGGGUAGCGGGUCUUCAGGCGCUCGAGGAGAUAGAGGGCGGUGAAGAUGGCUGGCGACGAAAGUCUGGUGCGGCGCAAAGCGUACGCGGUGAAUUCCUUGAGAGGACGGGAGUUGGCAGGGCAGUUCGCCGGCAGCUCCGGACACUCAAACAAAUGGGUGACGAAGUUGGCGCAGAGUGUGGCGGUCUCUUCCACAUCUAUGUACGUAUCCUGGAUAAAUCGAAAGACAAUCGAGCUUCAAAGGCUAGUACGACAUUGAUCACCAAAUUCCUCUGCUCACCUCCCGUUGCUUCUUCGAAGCGGAUCGGCAGCUGGCGGAGGGAGAUCCAGGUCUUCGAGACAUGACAACGACUCUCAAGAAUGCAGCCGGAGCGGUGAAAGCACGUUGGUGGUUGAGAGCGUUCCCAAGUCAGACGACGCUAGAAGACCCGAGAGAAAGAGAGGAAAGUGGUUGAGAACGGCGGAGCAGCGUGUCCAGCGACAGGCUCUGGAAUCGGGGAGACUUUAUAUGUGGCACUGAGAACGGUGGCGCAAGCCGUAUCAGGCGAAGGCAGCUACAGAGGUAAUAGCUUUGGCUGUUCGGACUGUCACAUCCACAAUACCGGUACCCCGGCGGGAUAAACGACGGGACGGAGGGACCAGAUCAGGUUUGCCGAGCCGGGCAAAGCUUUGUUGAACGGUAAGCGAGGGGCCCUGUCCAUUACAGCGAAUUAAUAAGUUUCAUACAGAGAAUACAUAUGCACGAAUAGAAUCACCUGUGUUGCUAUUGUAUUAUUCCCGGCCUUUUGACUGCAUAAUACUUGAUAGGCACAGGAUGGUUGGUCAUCCCGACGUUUUUGACUCGAACUGGCAGAGCCUUGGCCAACGAAUGCGCUAGAAUUUGUUCUUGCUCAAGCCAAUAGAAAGAGACCAAAGAAUACAAGGUGUUGCUAAAGGACCAGGACCUGUGCAUACCACGUAAGCAGAAGGAGGGACUUGGAGCACAAUUGUUCGUAAGCGCCGGUGAUUGUGAUACAAGUUCAACGUCUGGUUAGGCGCCCAUCUGUCACAGCCUCGCCACGUGUAUACGCAUCGAUCGCGAUCUUGAGCUCAGCCUCUUCGAGCAACUUGAAGUUCAAGUUCACGGCGCCGGUCGAGGACCCAUCUAUUACACACAACUAUAACACUCGGCGAAAUAUAACCAUUAUAUUCACCGUACGUGCUGCAGCAGGCUUAGGCCGUCGUCUGGGAACUCAGCAGGUCGCACGCGCUCGGGACGCCGACACCUCGUCCCUACUGGUUCUCCACACCCCCACUACCAACCCCGCAUCUCUUCGCCAACUUCGCCCGUACAGCUCGUCAGCAUUUACGAAAGACAUGGCCAACUCAGCAGAGGGUGACGCGUCCCCAGCACCAACUCAACAGCCGCUCGUCAUGCAGAUCGUCGUCCGUCGAGACCUCCUUGAGGUUCGUCUUUCCACUUCAAGUUCGGAGCGUCGCGUUUCUGACCUUGUUUGAACACCAUUACGCGCCUCUCUCCCUGUAGGAUAGGCUGAAGGCUGGGGCGUAGGCCCGCUCAUGGCUCAGGUCGCACACGCCACCUCUGCGGUAGGCUUGUCGCUCUAUGCAGUCCCCAACGUUCCUUAGACUCAUGCUUUCCCGUGGGUUCUUUGUGUGUUGUAGGUACUGCAUGAGACUCACGAGCGCCCAGAGACCCAAGCGUAUCUAGACGACCUCAAAAAUAUGCGAAAGGUGCGCCACCUCCUUUCCCGACAUAUGGUCGAGACAUCGUACUCAUUCAUCUAUCGUUCGCCCACGAAGGUCGUCAUGCAGGUGCAUCAUACCCUCUCAUUCACGCUCCUUCCACAUAACUGAUCGAUGGUUCAUAUUACGCCUAGACCGCUGACCAAGCGAGCAUCGAACGCCUCGCGAGCCUCCUGACCGCCGCGGACCCGCCGAUCGUGCACCACCUCUGGAUCGAGCAACCAGAGAACGUCCCGACGUGCCUCGCGCUCGCCCCGAACCGCCGCGACUCCAAGAUCAAGAAGGCGCUCGACAAGUCCGGAGCACGCCUGUGGAAGGGUUGAACGCGAACCUUGGGCUAGCCCACACAGGGGCGCAGGCCUAGGCGAUGUAGUAGAAGUACCGAGUGCACACUCUAGAAGGAAAUGAGGGUGUAUUGAUACAUAGUCACGGGUUACAACAUCUCCAAUACGCAAUCGGUGCAAUCGGUGCACUCGGCCUCACGAAAGACGAAACCGAGACGAGACUUCCAGCCAGGAGAACAAAGCACGCCACCUCUCGUCGGGUCGCACCUCGGAGGCGGACGGCCGCUAGUACAUCUCGAGACUCAUGCCGUCGUGGAUCUCGUAAUCUGCGAGUGUGAUGUGGUCUUUGUAGAUCGUAUACCUGCGUCAGACGGGCAGAUGUCAGCUCUGGGUCGCUGGGUCGUCGAAAAGCAGGACAUGACAGGACGGCAUGGGGAGGAAGGGGCGGGGGUGGGGGACAUGCGAACCAUUUCUUAAGCUGGAUCUUGGUGUGGUCGGUGCCGGUCUGGGCCGCGAUGAGCUUCUUGAGGUCGCCGACAGUGUCGUCGGGACUGCACUUCACACGCACUGUGGCGGGGGCGGGGGACGGGAGCAGGGGGCGGAGAUGCGUGCUGAUCAGGACGCGGGUCGGGGUAUCGGCAUCAUGUUGAGAGUAACGUACCUUUACGCCCGAGACGGUCGUUCGCAAUGACCUGCAUCGACGAUCAUCCACCCAAAUAUCCGCGCGAGGCAUGGCCAAGGGGCAGGUCCAGUCGUGGAAUGAGGGUGGCGUUCGAGGAGCGAUACAACGGUAUAAUCUGGUCAGCACGGUAUGGAGCAAGAACAGGACAGCACGUACUUCAAUGAGAGGCAUAACGUAGCAAAGGCACCAGAGAGAGCGAGCAGACGGAGAACGGGAAGCGAGCGGUCCAAGGUCGAGAUGAGAUGACGCACGGCGACCUGAUCCGGCAGGCUAGGCGCUCAAGGUGUCUCGACCGAAAAGGCAAGUGUGAAGAAACCUUUCGGUGAGGCACGGCGGCGUGACCACGCAGUUUGAGUCCGUUUACAGGAAGCCACGCCCGACGCAUACUAUGAUCUCUAUAAAUAAUUAAUAACAACAGCGUGGGGUUACCUUUGUUGAAGAAAUAAUGAGAAUCAUCCGGCAGGUUUAGAUGUUUUAGAUGUUCCUAGGAACUUCGUCUCUUUCUAUCAGAUAGAUCGAGAAGCAGAUCGAUGAAACUCCCGUUUAGCUCAGUUGGUAGAGCGCAUCACUUGUAAUGAUGAGGUCAGUCGUUCGAGUCGGCUAAUGGGAAGUGAGCUUGAUGUGGUACUGAGUCUUCUGAGUCUUUUGAAUCUUUUGCCGGCCUCUUGAAAUAGAUGCGUUCAAGCUAUGUGACAACAUAUAAUGUACGCUUGGCGCGACUUUGCCUCUUUCAUACUCGUACACAGCAAUUAUGGCCCAUUCAGAACGUGUGAGUAUUUAAAACCUCUCUAUUCUCGCCUAUCUGAACCUGUAAACCUCGACCGAUGCAUGGAGGGAGCCUGCGCUGGCCCGGAGCUUCUUCGUAGCCUCCUGUCACACCAUCGCCAAAGAAGACGUAUCCAGGAAUAUACCGAUCCACGAAGCUAAGACUCAUAACAUCAGCGACGCAUCCGAACCAGGAGGAGGGAAACCUCGUACGCCACAACUUGCUCGUCAGUCAUGCCCAUGCCUCCAUUCCGCGCCUUCAUAUAGUGCUCCUGCUGCAGCCUCCACCUGUAUAUAUGCGUGUACGGAUGCUCACGGGGCGGUUUGAUCUGUGUCACAGAGUGCAUAAAUGUCAUCGGGCGAUUUACAUCCCUCGUACGCACCUGAAUGAAAGCGUCGAACAGGUCCCACCACGAGACGUAGUCCUUCAGACGCUCGUUGAUGUCGAGCACGUCCUCCACCCGAUACCCCCUCUUCUCGAAGAACGCUUCGCCGAGGCCCAUCACUGGCGCCGCGAACCGCCGCUCGACCUCCUCGCGCGGUAUUGGGUAGAAGCCGACGCACCACCCCUCGAAAAGCACGAUAUCCACGGGCGGGCGCACAACGGUUCCCGAGGGCGUGCGGUCUCCCUCCCCGCCAAACAGGCUCUUGUCAAAGAUCGGCAGCUCGACUUGCUGAUCUGUGCUUUCUGGAGCGGGUUCGUUGAUGCGCUUGAGCUUGUUCAGGACUGCAGUCCCGAGCGGCACGUCGUGCGUCCCCGGCUGGCCUCGUCCCCUGAGGAGCGCGUUCUGCGGGUGCGCGUCCGCCAGGGCGACUAGUCCAUCGUGGGGGAGGUACAGAUCGUCGAGAGAGAGCACCGCGAUGGAGAGGUUGUGCGGCGCCGCCUGCAAGGUGUCCCGGAGGAUGGACGUAAGAAACGUCUUCCCGCUGCCCUGCGGUCCUUGGACGCCAACGAUGAAGGGCGGCGUUGAAGGUGUGGAUACGCCGUAUUUCUGAUGUCGCGCGCGGUGUGCGGCCAGUUGGGCGAGAACGUGAGAGCCCAUGUGUCCUAUGGCCUCUGGUGGCUGAGAGGUUGUGGGUGUUCCCUGCGAUUGACCAGGGUCAAAUGUAAGCUUACAAGGUUGAAAUCGAAGAGUGUAGACAUAAUCUAACCGUACUAGCCAUCGCGAUGGAUAUCGCCUCUUCAGUUUCGUAUCUUCGUGGUGGGUACAAACGAAAGGCGGAAGUCCGACCCCGCGUGACUUGGAAUCGGCUAGUCCUGUGUUCUGGCACGUGACUACUUUGAUGGAGACGCGUUGAGCGCUUGUGAAAGUGAACUUGGAUCCUUAACCACCACCAACCACCAGAAGCCGCGUCAUCCUCGUGGUAUGUUUGUUUUCUUACCUCUUUCCUUUUUGGACCUACAAUAGAAUGCCAAAAUAGUCACUCUUUGUGGUCAAUACGUAUAAAAGACGGACAGCACCGCACCAAAAGUGAGAUCCUACUUCCCCCAUUUCACUCCCAUCUACUUCCACUCUUCUUGACCAUCAUGGCUGAUCCGAAGUCCAACGCCUCAGGCCAGCCACCCCUAUCUAUACCGCCUCAACCACCCCUCAAAGCAAGCCCUAACAAGCGCAACCACACGGCCACUCACUACUCUGCAAUUGCCCAGCAACUCGCCGAAGAACAACGCAAAGGCCAUCGACUCAGCAUGGAUGGCAAGAUUGUGGUCAUUGACUAUGACACUAUGAUGAAAGAUCACGUUCCAUCCUCGAAGCACGAUCCUGGUGAUGCCCAUUUUGAGUCGUCGUUCAAGUUCAAGGGCAAGGCAGCUACCGAGAGCAAAUUUUACGAGCCUUUCGUGCGUAGCCGCUGCAUAUUUCUUUGAACAUCUUCUAAUCCCGCAUUUUAUAAUUGUCAGGCGAAGGCUAUCAACAGCGGAUGGCUGAAGGGUACCAACUUCAAGGUGGUCGUUACCUCCGCCACCCCCGACCCGUCCGACCCCAGCAAGCAGCGGGUCGACUUGGCCAUCUACACACUCGACUCAGCUCCAGGAGUGGGCGACCCUGCUAACUGGUCUGCGGCAGAGUUGACCAUCGAAGUCAAGCUGGAGGAGGUCUCGGAGGAUCCGUUCGACGACGACACCGCCAACUUCCAGCCCGCGUCGGCCGAUCGCAAGAAGAACCUCGGACAGGUCCUAUCCUACUCGUAUUCGAGCACCAACAGCGCACGCACCACUUCACGAUCAUCAUCCUCGGCCAGUGUGCCCGCAUCGUCCGCUGGGACCGUGCGGGGGCGCUUGUCAGCGAGAAGUUCAACUACGUCGAGCACCCGUGGAUGCUCGGCCGCUUCCUCUGGCGCUUCGCGCACAUGUCUGCCGCCCAGCGCGGGCACGACACGACCGCCACUCGCCUGCUCACCACCUCCGCCGAGUACAGGCUCAUGCGCGAGCGUGCCGACGUGCCACAGAAGAACGCGGAGGGCUUCGUCGUCAACGAGCAUGCGCGGAUGCUCUUCAAAGCGUCCGUCAGCAAUUCGUCCGCGCAGUGGUGGAAGUUGCGGGUGGACGAUAGCACGGGCCCGCGAUUCUUUCUGGUCGGUGAGCCUCACUUCCAGGCGUCGGGCCUCACCGGCCGAGCAACACGUGGUUAUGUCGCUGUGGACCUUGCGAACCCCCACGGUGCACUGGUGUUCCUCAAAGACGCCUGGCGCGUGGCUCACGAGGGCAUCCAACGCGAAGGUCAUAUCGUCCAUUAUCUCAAUGAGAGAAAGGUUGACCGCGUCCCAACCCUGGUAUGCCAUGGAGACGUGAGGGUGCGGAAAGACGACAGUCUGGUGGAGGACGACGAGGACGAUUACAUCGGUGAGGAAGAACAAGAAGCCGAGGACGAGGAGAUGGACGAGGAUGAGGACGAGGAAGCAAUAUUGAACGAUGGGGAGAAGCCGCGAGGAAGGAUUCAACAGACGGUCUCACAGAAGUACUGGACCGCUCGACUACCUGGAGCACACUGCCCAAUGAAGACCCAUCGACACUACCGUAUCGUCGUACGGGAGGUCGGCCUUCCAAUGAGCUACUUUAAGAACGCCAUGGAGCUCGUAUUCCUUCUGGCCAAGGGCAUAAAAUGUGAGUCGCUAUUACUGUCAAGCGUGGAAGUCCUCAGAUCUUGAUGAUUUCCCUUUGUCAGCGCAUGAACAAGCUUAUAAUGCUGGCAUCCUGCAUCGCGAUAUCAGCGCCGGCAACGUGCUCAUCCAGAUCAAGGAGGUCGUCGAGGACGGUAAACUCGUGCGGAGGAGGGAUGUCCUUCUGACUGAUUGGGAGCUGUCGAAGCGCUUGGACCAAUCAGAGAUGGAUCCUCGACAACCAGAUCGUACGGUUCGUCCUCUCCUUCUCGAACUACAAUGAUGAAUGGUCAUUAAUAUGCCGCGUCUGUUUCCACAGGGUACCUGGCAGUUCAUGUCCGCGAACUCGCUGACCAACCCAUGGCGCGUUAUCGCCGUCGAGGACGAGAUGGAGUCGUUCUUCCACCUCCUCCUUUUCUAUGCCAUCCGCUAUCUCCCUCACAACUGCAAAGACGUCGGUAUGUUCAUAGAAGACUACUUCGACGGCUUCACCAAGAGGAACGGGCAAUACUUCUGCGGAUACACAAAGUGGAGCGCCGUGACGACCGGUUCCAUCUCUCUUCUUGACAACGCCGGCAAGCUCGUCUUCUACCUCCCUUCCGAGCCCCAGGACGAGUCCGGAGAAGCGACUUCGGCCGCAUCCGGUGCUGACGUUGAACGCAAACUGCACCCCAUCAAUUUCUUGUUCAAUUCCAUGCUGGGGUGGUUCCAGGCGCAAUAUGCUCUCAUAAACGAGCAGGAGAACCCCACGGCCGGCCCCCGUGCAGCGCCGCCGCGGAAUGCGGCAGAGCUGGCGGACGAAGCGCCGACCGAGGAGGAGUUGUGGUUCAUGAACGAGGGCAAGGUGGACUUCACGAAACCGGCGCACGAGCAAAAGUCGAUGCUUGCGGAGCGCAAGAAGCUCGAGAAGGCCGCAGCCAACCUGAAGGAGCAAAGGCAUGUCAUCGGUCUCUUCGGGCGCGUCUGCACUGGGAAGUCUGGGCAAGACCUUGAGGCAUGGCCACGCAACGACAGGGUCCCGGACCAGCUGCGUGCGAACUUCCGCCCGGACAGAGAUGACGAGCCUGAACCUGGGGUUACGUUGGGCUCGAAGAGGGACUCAGUGCACAACGGAGAUGAGCACGGGGGCGUUGAGAUGCCGCCACCUGCGAAGCGCCGUAGCACCCGGAGUUCCAACCGGUGAUAUCGCAAAUAUCUAUUUAGUUGUAAGACUUGGCAUGCGUAUGAUGUUGGACUUGAGACAUAGGCGUUUCUAUAUCAUGAAUGAGGACUGACACAACUUGAAGCCACUCUGCCAGGUUGUUUCCUUUUUGUUCGUGCUUGCAUUUCCCGAACAGAGUUCGGGCCCACACAGAUCAUCGUUGCUAGUGAGCGUUCAAGCUCAACUUCCGAGCCAAACACGACAGGCAAAGCCCUAUAUUUCAUGCGGAACACUUACGGUGUCUUUCGAACUCCUCUCGCCCUAAGUUUGUCGUCCCCUCUGUCUUCUGAGAAAUUCUACGGAUGCUUUUAAGCAGCACAAACAUUUCUCAAGAGGUUCCUCGCUUGGACCAUGGGGCCUUGCCAGUGCCCGCCGUGCAAGUCUUAGCAUCUUGAGGUUGACGGCUUGAACGGCCCGGAGAGCAAUACAGCCAAAGUAGCGCCCACGGCAAACGCCGGUUCGCAGGAGAGUUUCCCCUGCUGCGAAUGCCUGUCUGUGUCUUCACUUUGGCUGCUGUACACGUUGUUCCCCUUCCCUCCAUCCCCUGGUCCCCUUCCUCCUCCUGCCGCGCCUCGGUUUUCUUUCUCUGGUCUUUCAUUCGGCUUUGACGUGCGGCCCCUGCCUACAAGACAGCAAAAAUGAUGUCCUCAUCCGACGCCGAGGCCUCGACGACCCCGUUCCAACCGCUGGCCGCACACUUCGCAAAGGCGCAGCGGCAGUACCAGCAAUGGCUCGACAAGGUCACACCGUUCGUGCUCUACCGAUGGGUUGGCACCGCCGUGCUCCUCGCCCUCUUCAUGCUGAGGAUUGUCGUCGCGCAAGGGGUGAGUUCGGUCUCUGUUUGGGUGGGAGACGUGUGUGCCUGACCGAUAUGCGUGCGCUUUCUCUCCCUCGCUAUCUAUUCUCUGCGAAUAGUGGUACAUUGGUACGUGGCGCCUCUUCUUUGUGAUCAUAUGCCUAUUCUGACGAGUCUUUUGCAGUGUGUUGUACGUAUCGAAGUCGAAGACGGUGGGGACGGGAUACUGACCGCCACGGACACAGACGCCCACGCAAUCUACCUCCUCAACCUCUUCCUCGCCUUCCUCCAGCCCCGCUUCGACCCCUCCCUCCAGGACGACCUCCUCGCGGACGAGAUCGAGGAGGGCGGCGAAUCCACCUCGCCCCUGCCCUCCUCCCGCGACGACGAGUUCCGCCCGUUCGUCCGCCGUCUCCCCGAAUGGCAGUUCUGGUGCGCCUUCUCCCUUCCCCUGCCCCGCUCUAGGCCCCGCUGUGAGCGAUGCUCCUGACGUGUAGUGAUACUGAUGCUGGCACAGGCUGUCGGCGACGCGCGCGACGGUCGCCUCCAUCUUCGCGAGCUUCUUCGAGAUGUUCGACGUGCCCGUGUACUGGCCGAUCCUCGUCGUCUACUUCUUCGUCCUCUUCCUCCUCACCAUGCGCCGCCAAAUACAGUACGUGCUCUCUCUUUAUCCAAUCGUUCUUCCCUUCCUCCUUGCCUUCGCUGCUUGUCCUCCGCCGCCCGUUGCCCAACACGUCUCGACUGGGGUGGGAAUGACGUGGCGGAGGCGAGCUCGCGACUCGAUUCGAGUGCGAUCGCUGAUGUGCCCGCGUUCUCUCCGCUUCACAGGCACAUGAUCAAGUACAAGUACGUCCCCUUCGACAUCGGCCGCAAGGCGCGCUACGGUGGCCAGAGGUGAAAGGAGCCUGAGCGCCGGGAGUGUAUUGGAUAGAUGACGAACCGUCUGGUGUCUUGUGGGGUCCAGGUAGGUACGCCCUUCCGUUCUGUAUACGUUCUUCGCACACUCAGACUGGGAUGCUGAUGGCGGGCUGUGUGGACGCAGGAGGCCGAUACGCGCUGGCUACGAUAUAGAACGAUUGCUACGCCUUACCAUACCAAACUGUCUUAUUUCCGCCCAUACGAGUAAUGCAGGUGUGUCUGUACAGGUGUACGACCAAUCGCCACCACGCACUUGAUGGCCGGCGCCAUGACGUGCUACGGGGACUGUCCCUGACAGACAAGAUGAGCAAGUUGUCGACCAACGCCACUGGGUGUGAAAUACCCACUUGGCGCGUGCAUAGCACAUCCGGUCUCGUAGCUUUGUCUGAAAGUGGAUUGCACCUACUUAGCCUUCCGACAGACAAGAGAAUGAUCAAGGUCGGAUAUUCUAUCAACAUAGGAGAGACUCUACAGUACAGAAAGUCUAUGACAAGUUCAUGUGGAAGUGCGACAACGAGUAGCAUGCGGGUAUGCAGUAUAGUCCGAGGAAAUGUGUGCACCGUCGCAGUACGAGCGGGACACUCACAGUACGCAUCCCUUCGAAACAACCAAACGCCCUCUUCCAGCUCAGAACAAGAACGGGAUGACCGCCUUGCGCUCCUUGGGGUAGUCCGGGAAGCGCGCGUGGUACCACCGGUGGCCCUUGUAUGCGCGCGGCAGCAUGAGCCAGACCUCGUUGAAGAAGAACAGCCACGGCGGGCUCGCACUCGCGACAAACGCGCCAAGCGACGCGCACGACGGCGCGGGGCCCGCCGCGAGCGCGAACCCGAGCCACUCGGCCCACUCGCAGAGGUAGUUCGGGUACGAGAUCAGGCGGUACAGCAGCCCGUGCGGGAUCGCGUAGUGCUCGCCCUUGGGCUUGCUCUGCGGCUGGGUUUUUUUGUCCUUGCCGUUGUUCGCGUCGUCGUCGUCGUCGCCGCCGGCACCUUGCGAGGGGGCGGGGGCUUUCUUGGCGGUGCGCCGGAUGUUGAGCAGGAUCUCGUCGUGGACGAUGUUGCCCGCGAAGCCGGCGGCCCAGAGCCCGAGCCCGAGCCAGAACGAUGGCCGCGCGAAGGCGUCGCGGAGGAAGGCUUGGGCGGAGGGCGAGGACAGGUAGGCGCCCAUGAGGGAGCCGUUGACGAUGUUGAAGAGGACGGCGGAGGAGACGACGAGGAGGUGCGACGUGGAGCGGGAGGGCGUGCGGAGGGGGGAGAUGAGCGCGCGGUUGAGGUAGUGCGUGAUGUAGGCGGCGGCGAGGAGCGUCGGGGGGUGCGUGAGGCUGAGCGACGGGGCGUUGGGCAGGAAGCCGGAGGCAGAAGUCAGCGAGAGGGUUGAGGUGGGGGAGAGGGGGGAGCGGAGGUAGGCGUUGACGAAGAAGACGAGGGAGACGAGCUCCAUGCAUAUCCAGGAGCGGAUGCCUGGGUUGGAGACGAGUCCGGGGGUGAUGAGGGGACUUGUUUGGGUGCAGGAUGGGUUGUGGAGAAGAGAAAGUGACUCACCAUCGACCGUGAAGAUGCUCCUCGUUGAUGUAGCGAAUCGUCCGAAGGGUGCAUCGAACACGAAUGUUGCGGGACAAAGGAAUGGCGGGACUACGACGAACCACUCCCGUGUACCUGCACACACAAGACAUUAGCAAAACUUAAAGUGUAGGCCUGCGCCGAUGACGACAUUUCGCGAUUGAAGCUGAUAUGAGGCACCGAACACAAACCAUGUGGAACACCGUAAGUCGAUGUCCGGGCAGUCCUGAGGUUCAGUGGGUGUAUUAUUUGUGCCCUAACAUGCGUGCGCUAUGGAUCCCGAAUAGCGGCAACCGUGAACCUCGAUACUCACUAUCAUACAGCGUCUGUAGCAUCUUCAAGUCCAUCAUGAUGAGCAAGGCUGCGGGCGGAUGGUAGCAAGUUGGGGCGAGUUCGAGGCUGAAUGCGUACUGCGGAAGAAAGUUUGCCCAUCAUCGAAAUUGGCCGCUACGUCACUGGCGUUGCUUGCUGUUGUUAGGAUCCUCCGCCUUCCUAAUUCGGUUACUCCUCCAUCCAGAGUCUGUCACUGAAUCCCAUCAUCCCCGCAUUUGCAUCCCGGCCUCUAGCUUUGAUCUACGCUAUUCGGGGGAUUCGUACUCUCUAUAAUUCAUAUAUGCACUCUCACUGAGAGUAGUCAUAGACUCUACUUUCAUGGCCGCCGCUAAUAAUUGUCUGGCGAUAGCCCCGACACUUAUCAUUAUCAGCGCUCGAUGCGUUCUUAUCGACCCCUGUGAAGUGCAGGUGCUCCCAAGUUAUGACUCAACUUAUCAUCCUUGUGUUCGCACCUGCAGGCUGUGGAUACUUGGGUACUGUCCUUCAACAGUUUCCAUCGAACGGCACCGGCUAAUCCGGGGAGCAUGCACUCCAAAGCAUUGCCAUCAAUCGGUGGAAAAUCUGAGCCGAAAGUAAGGGUAAGUAAGGGAACCCCAUUCUUGCAUAUCAUGGAAGUCCUAUCAUCUGACGGUUCAUCGUCAUCGUUUUAGCAUCGAGUCACCUUGAAGACAUCUCCAAUUUUGUCAGGUCUUGCCUAUUGGGUUUUCUCCCAAUGCAUCAUCUGAAAAUCCAUCAGACCAUGCAGUAUCCCGUGUCCAGCCCGACAAUUGGGAUCGUGUGUUCCAGGGCCUCGAGGCCUGAGCGGUGCUAAUCAGAGAACAAGGACAGCAGGGGUUCAGUAUCGAUGUGAAAUGUCCGUGGGAGGGCCGCCGCCCACACGACCAAACAAGCGUAUACCUGGGGCCCAGCAUCGAUCGUGAGCGCGAUGAGAUUCCGCAUAGUGCCCGCUCCUUGGGCGUACUCAUCGAAUGUGCGUAGUCCACCAUCGCUCUGUUAGUGCAGGUUGACAAGGUCUCGAGUACAGGAACGACUGUAUUCACGGCCUGCUUGAAGUUACCUAUCUCAACCAUUCGUUUGUGAUAGAUACGAAAGGUGCCACCCGCAGCAGCCCUCUCACGAAGUCUCCUCCGCUGAUUAUCUCAGGACGAUCAAGGAAGGAGGCUGGUUGGAAGGGUUCGGAAUAUCGAGCUGGGAUUGAAUUAUUGACAAUUGUGGUGGAACCCCCGACGAUCGAGUCACUGUUCGCCUCCGGUCAGCCAUCUGAACAAGGCGAACAGUCGUUUUGGGACGCGAAGAGCAAAGGCUAGCCUCGAGGCUGGCACAGAACAAACAUUCCGCCGGCGUCAGCCGCACAGCGCCCUUCACGGUAUAUAAACCUGGCCCCCUCCGCUCUCCCUCUCUCCUCACAACCCCCACCAUCACCGCCAAACAUCCAAGUAUCAGCCGCUAUGCCAUCAUGACUAUGCCCACACCUCUCUCUUCGGAGGCCAGCUCUGCGCGGUGCCUCCUCCUCUGACCAGCACGGGUCCCAACCACCACGGGUACGCUCGCAUUCAUCUCCACAUCCUUCGUUCCUAACCACCGCGCGCAGUGCUGGAGACCCAGGUGCGCUCGAUCCUCUCGGUGAGUUCAUCUUCUCAUCUACCCUCACUCGCUCGCCGCGUGAUGCUGACUGUGGCGGUGGUCAGGGUCGACGCGUCGCCAUCCCGGUCAAUGGUGCAUAGCCCGUUCGCCCAGGGGCCCUCCCGAAAUGUAGGGUGCGGCUGCCUACACGGCUGGAGCGGGUGAUUGAGCCCAGGCGUCAGUGCUCCGCUGCGGUCUCCCUCGUCGGGAGACUGCGUCAGCCGGGGUGCUACCGGGACGAGUACCCGGCCGCUUUCACGAAGGCGGUUGGGGAAAGCACAGACGCUGUAACCUGGAACGCGACUCGUAAUGCGUCGUGGGUAGACGACGUACGCACCAGCAGACCCACCUUCUCCGCGUUCUCUGCGUCGGAGGGUCGUGCAACGGUGUCGCGUCGUCAGCGGAGAGCCUGCUCGCAACGGUACGUCGACGCACCAUCUGUUGUCGCCACUCUCGUUCUCAUGUGUUCGUAUCUUGCAGGCUCUCCGGCGCGCCCUCUGCGGGGGGCGGCGCCGUGGUGAGCGGACGAGAGGCGGCGAUGGUGCGCCCAUAUUUGGAAAUGGGCUAGAAGCAGCCACUUGUCAGCGCGUCUGCGACCCAUUCCCCUCCCGCGACCCACCCGCCCAUCCUUCUCUCAUCAUCUCCGGACGGAGGCGAGCGUUCAUUCCACUAUAAAUUCGUUUACUCUAUGUUUCUAGGCAUGUAUGUCGACCUCUCUCUGGGCAGUAGCACGUCCGCACUGUCCCUGCAGUUUGAAGUGAGUCUCGCCUUCACCCAUGAUGUGUCUUCGAUCUCAACUGACUGGCCCUUGUAGAUGCAGGCGUCGAGGCUUGGGCCUGCCUUGUGUCCCAACGAUGAAUUUGGGCGCAUGCGGGCUCACUUCAAGACCCCGACGGAUCCUCGCGUCCGCGCGUGGAUGGGCAGCAUGUACGUGGCAAAACUAAUGUGGUGUCGAGCCUGCCCUCGAUUCAAGACGCCACCCCGAGGUACGGUCGGCCGUCGCUUUCUGAGCGCGGUCGUUCCUGGUGCAGGCCUCUUCGCGGCCCUCGGGACUAGUACCUGCUUCGGCGGGGAAGCUAACGUGCACCGAAAGACUCGGUUUCUUAGUGGCUCGCGUUUCUUCGUGACUUUAGUAUAUCUCAUGUAUCGUGUUGUCUUGUAGACUGUGGUGACCGUUCAAUGCAUAUAACUCCGGUUACUUUAUUGUCUUAUCCUAUAAUGCGCGCGUUCUCUGUAAGCUUAUCGCGAUCAAGCUUAAUAUAUACAUCGUCACAUGGGCAGUAUAUAGGGGGCUGCUAAGGCAGGUUAGGGUUGUAUAUUUGUGGGUAUAAGUAGCUCGUCUGUUGCGUCUGCUAUAGAACGGGGUUUAACGCGCUUGCGACGCUUCUGUAGGCUCACCACCAACCUUCAGCUCGUUCCAAGACUCUUGCGAGUUGGCAACAGCGCGCGAUGGCCACAAGGUGUUGUCUGAAAUCUUUGGCGGCCCCUUCUGAUUACUAGUCUAGACGUCCACUUGUGUAAGUCAUUGGUUCUAGGUCCUCCUGAAUGCAAUAAUAAUGAUACCAUGGCGUUGUUUACAAGUGCAACAUCCCAGCAAUUGGCGAGGCGUGGCGUCGUCAUCAGCGGCGCGCCCAAGGGGCCUGUAACGAUGGGCAUUCAUACCUGCGCCCACAGCGUGGAGGAAUACCUGAGACGUAUAAAUAGGCGUGGUGAGUUGGGUACACUCUCUGCAUCCCUCUUUUCCCCGCUUCUCUUUCUCGAAGCUCGGCUACACAAUCCCCCAUGGAUUAUUGACAGUGUCCCACUGCAACACAUCUCUCGGAAACACUCGCAUACUCAGACACUCCCCUUGAAUGGCGGUGUGAACUCCCGUAGCGGGUGUCCCAGAUGACUCAUUUCCCAGUUACAACGCGUAUACAGAGGUGAUCGACUCCGUUAUUGACUAUGCUUUCAAAUUCUCGUCUAGAAAGUUUUCCCUGCCCGAAUGGCCUUCGCCUGUUCACUCUGAGCCUCGUCGCGGAGGUACCUCCCGUAUAUCACCUCAAGGUGCUGCCUCUCCUGCAAGUCAAGAGGUGUGUCAGUACCCACACUUCCUACGUCAUUCGGCCUGCACAUACGCUGCUUGUCUUGACGAUGCUCUCACGGCGCUCCAGCCUGUCGACGUACUCCUUCCACCCGUUCCCGACCGCCGCGCGGCUGAACCCGCGGUGCUCCGCAACGACCCAGUCGCGCACGACCCACGGCGCGAGCGCGACGUCGACGAGCGAGAACCGCUCCCCGAGGAACCACGGCCCCUUGAUCUGAGUCGCGAACGUCCGGAGCGCGCCGUAGUACUCCUCGAGGAGCGCGCGCUGCCGCUCGGCGCCCUGCGCCUGGAUGAGGCGCGAGUGCGCGGGGACGACGACCUUGGCGGCGUAGUCCGUCCAGAUGCGCGCGUGCCCGCGGUCGAUGGGGUCUGCGGGGAGGAGGUGGGGCUCGUGCGUCGGGCCUGGGAAGGCGUCCUCGAGGAACUCGCAGAGCACGAGGGACUCGUAGAGCCCGCGGCCGUGGUACUCCACUGCGGGGACGAGGCCCUUCGGGUUGAUCGCUGCACGCGCGGUGGUAAGCCUGUUAUCAUGCCCGCUCGGCGAUGGGGAUCGGGAUGAGACGCAGACGCACCGAGGAAGUGGGCUUCCCUUUUGUAGGGGUUCACUUCUUGGUACUGGUAGGGGAUGCCGCGCUCCUCGAGGGUGAUCCAGACGCGCUGGACAAAUGGGCAGAACUGGAUGUGCGGACGGGGUGAUCAGUGGACUGGGUGGUUGGACCGCGCUUACCGCUGCUUACCCAUCCAGCGUAGAAGACGAGGUCUUGAGGAUCUUGAUGGGCUUCCACAGUCUUCGCUGCCUGGCCGGUUGCAACUGGGUGAAAGUUCUCGUCUGGAAUGGCCAUUCUCCUGGUCUCAGCCGAUUGGGUAGACGGAGCAGGUGUGUGAGGAUGUGGGGCGAAAGGCGGGGUCUCGUAGGGCUCUAUAUAAGCACCUUGAGGUGUGCGGCUGACCAAGGUGGCGUGGCUUCUUCAUCCCUAUGUCGCGCGAUCGAGCGGGAUGGCAGGUGAUAAGGGGCAAUCGCAACAAGAAGAUACCCAAGUUGACUCGACUUGUCCUCCGAUCUAAUGCCUUCCGCCUACCUCCAGAGCCGGGGUUUCCAACUUGCAGCCAUGCUAUGCUUGACUGGAGGACCUCGACUCGACAGGCGACUAUCGAACUCAAAGUUAAGUCAGCUAGGUUAAGAUACCUAUAUAGGGAAGCUUACUUGCCUGCUACCCAACCGAUCAACGCAAACCGCGAGCAUACACCCCCGUCUUCCUCUUGACGCAUCUUAUAUCCGAGUCUCUUCACAACUGAUACCCACCAGGCUGGUCGGGGAACGGCCUCACGGCCCGCGAGGACGCGCCCGCGAUUGACCGAGGCUCGAUGGCCUUCUGAAGAGGCGCCUUUACACCCGCGCUGGUGGACAUCGCGGAGCCGACGGCUCGAAAUCAUUGGAAAUUUAUUGAAAACAGAGGAAGUAGUGGUCGUGAAUUACAGUCGUGAAUCGUCACGGUCAUGUCUCGUGUAAGGCGUUACUGUUGCGUGCUAUACUACAGUCGUGGGUAUGAUCAAUACAGGUAUAAUCGUGGAAACAUCAAAGUCCUCGGAGACGGAAGAACCAUGUCAAUAAUGUGAGUCGAUAUCAGUCGAGCUUCAUAUUUUGCGUUUUGCCCGAAGGGGAGUAAUUGACUCCUACGAGUCACCCGGGGCAGGUUUCAUGAACGUUUUAGAGGUUGAGAUUCAUUCAGUUUGACUGUGAAAGUUGGACGCAGAGGUAAGUACCGGAUCGCUUCACGGGGCGCAUGCAGGAAGACGUCGACGCACCGGAGCGCAACCGUUCGGUCCUGAACACGCUGCAUUUCUGUUGACAGCGAGGACACGAGCCUGCCUGGGGUCUAUCGCCGCGACUGUAGCAAUAAGGUAAGCAUAAUGAACAAAUAUAAAACUGUUCGCUGAGUCCUUACCGAGGGCAGAGGUCGCGAGGAGGACGAGGGCAAGGACGUUAAAGGGAGCGUGCAUGGUGGCGCUGGCUAGUGGAGGUGGUGAUAGUGCAAUGGCCUGCUCAGCAGGGUAUGUUGCUGCGGGUUAUAGAGAGGAGAGGUGGUGGAGUGGGAUCACUGGCUUGAGCGGUGAGUCCUAUCGAGGACUUCGGAAGCCUUGUGUUGGAGGUGGUAGACGUUUAAGUUGCAGGUCGUCGCCCUCAAGUCCACCCCUUUUGAACAAAUGAAGGUCUAGGGGGUUCUCACAUAUCCCUUGGGCGCCGUUGUAAUCCAAGAACAAGGUUUCUAAGUAUCGGUCUCGGCGGGAUACAUGGCCACCAUGACCUCCGAAGAAGGAACAAGGUUGCGUGGGAAUAAGCGGUAGCAGCGAGCCUUUGUUUCUUAUGCCCGACUCGCCUUCACGCCACAACGUUUCUCGAGGCCUCGGAAUAUUUCCUUGUAUAUAAAGCGCGGAGUGGUACAGCCUCGAUGAUUAUCGGGUCUUCGUCGCUAUGGAACGCGACGACGGAGAGUCGAUAGAAGUCAGCCGAACGGGCGCUCGUCCGGCGCUUCUGACCGGUUCACAAACGUAUGCGACAACAACACAUUCAAACGCGAAGCCUGUACAUGCGAACGAAGAAUCCCAUAUGCUCAAACGACCCCCGAACGCCUUGCGCUCCACGCGACGAGCGUCCGCGAUGGGACUUGUGCCGACAAGGAGAAGUACGGUUGCGGAUAGCCGAAGCAGUCCAUGUCGUUGAGGGAUGCGGCGGGGUGCAUCAGCGGCGACCCUGGACGCCUGCUUUCCUCUCCUAUGAGGGCCACUUUUGAACCCGCGAAGCUUUAGCCGAAGGCGAAGGAAGCGGCACGUAGAAAGGCUCACCUGCGGCGUCUAGAUCGUAGCCGAAGAUGAUGCCGAACGCUGCCUUCAUGAAGUUCACGAACGACAUGUUUGCGAUAGAGCGUGGAUGGUGUGGUAGAAAAGCUUCUGAAGCGAGGUUUCGACUCUGCUGGUAGAUGCUGGGCAUGAAGCGGGCGACGAGCAUAUAUAAGCUACCCAAGCAUAUAACUAUGGCCUUUGUCUUGAGAGGACGGAGGCCAGCUGCUGCCAGUCGACACUGGCGGUUGAACUCGUGUUAUCCGUGCGGUGAUAGAUACCUGUGGGGCAGCUCCGGACGAUUGUCUUCGUGUGCCACAGUCAACUACAUGUGUUGGAGACAGAGAAAGGGGAAGACGGUACCGGCGUGAUCAGAUGCCACGAGUAAGAUGUUGCUUUGUCUUGCCAUGACUCUGCUCGAUUCGCGACGCAGGCAUGCCGUCAUUUCUGAAAGAUUAGCCUGGAUUAGAUGCGGAGGGGACGGUGGCCGUAUACCUGUCGCCGUGUGCAUUCGCCGCGGCGAGGGUCGCGACUGAGCGCAUUAUCGCGUGUGCCGUUCAGCGUGUGGAUCGCGCUUCUUCUUUGUCCUUGAUUACCCGGCGUCGGAAUUACCCGAAGUUGAGGAUUUGAGCGACUUACUCGACAGCGUGGCGAAUGUACUGUACAGUUAAUAUUUUUCAGCGAGACAGAUCGUAAGGGGAGCAGAACGCGCUUUGUGCACUUCAGUUCAUUUCCAAGCGGAGUCCCAGCGGAGUUGGACUGCCGGCAGUUGCCGCCCCAGUCUUUACCAAGUAGCACUUGAUCACUUGCUCCUUGAACCUUCCACAAACCCAAUCUCGUGCUACUGGAUUAUAUCCACUAAAUGCCCUAUUUGGCCGAGUCUCACCACUGUAUGUCGACGCUCCGUACUACGACCGAUUCAGCGGAGGAUGUAGCGUGUGGGAUCGAGGAUGUCCAUGUUUGGUCUGUGUUGGAUCAUACGUGCACCGUCGAACUCGAUUGCGCAACCGCUAGAUGAGUAAGCCACGCUGGAAUACCUCAGUCCUCUCAGGACGUUUCAUAAGACUGACGAUCGCCCUUGACCCCCCUCUCCCGACGCAGUUACUCCUCCAAAUUCAACUCAAGUGCAGUUUGAGGCAUACAAUGGGACUUCCGGACGAGAACAUCCACCCGCACGCGACCGGCCGUGCUGCGACGACGGUUGCGGAACAUCAGGGCCUUCAAGAUCUCAUCUUUUACUCAGGAUGGGUGCGUGCGUACAGCCAACGCCUCGCCCCUCGAUGCUGAUAUGACUCUGUCCAGUUCUGCCCAUACGUCCAACGGGUGUGGAUCGUCCUUGAGGAACGGGGCAUUCCGUACUAAUCCAAGGAGGUGAACCCCUACACGAAGGAACCCCACUUCCUAGGUCCGCGCUCUCUUCCUUCCAUUUUCAAGUCUCGCUCUCGACGACUCACUCACAGGACCUCCACAGCGAUCAAUCCAAAGGGCCUCGUGCCCGCAAUCGAAUAUAAGGGUCGCGCGCUCUACGAAUCCCUCAUCAUCUGCGAAUUCCUCGAGGACGCCUUCCCCGCGCUCGCGCCCCACCUCCUACCGCCGGACCCGUUCGACCGCGCGCUCGUCCGCCUCUGGACGGACCACGUCAACAAGCAGAUCGUCCCCGCAUACAUGCGCCUCAUCCAGCAGCAGGACCCGGAGAAGCAGCGUGCGCUCCUCGAGGAGCUCACCAAGGCGCUCCGGACGCUCUGCGCGCAGGUGAAGGGCCCGUACUUCCUCGGGGAGCAAUUCUCGCUCGUCGACGUCGCGCUCGCGCCGUGGGUCACGAGGGACUGGGUCGUCGCGGAGAACCGGGGGUACAGCCGCGAGGCCGUCGGCGGCGGGUGGGCGGAGUACGCGGCGAGACUGGAGACGCGGGAGAGUGUCGUCAAGACGCAGAGCGUGAGCUUUUGGUCUCAAAUGCCCCGAGUUCUGGAAUGGUGCUGAUGUAUGCUAUAGGAGAGGGUGCAUUUCACUGAGAUAUAUGGCCGAUAUCUGCGCGACGAGGCGCAGAGCGAGGGCGCGAAGGCCAUCAGGGCUGGACGCUCGUUCUAAGGCGCGCCCUGGGGCGCCAGAAUAUGUACAAUCUGCACGUGUUGCAAAAAAUGUGUACGAUAUCGUUCUAUAAGCGUUGUAUGCAGUGCGUCCUCCGUUCUACCUCUUUUCUAUGGCUGUGUUCCGGAGGCUGCUAUUUGAAACAUCUGCUUUUGGUUGCGAAAUGCCGUUCUAUCGAAGUGUGUAACAGGAAUACAGGGACAUGAGACACCGGCGCGUAUAGCAUAUUCAUAGCAUGCGAGGAUAAGUCCCCUCGCUCCCUCUGACCUCUCACUGUCCUCACCUCUUCAUCAUGUUACGUUCUCCACCCUCGCACCCACAACUGCCCCUGGCGGUCAUUGAGUAUCCCAUUGAUACUCUUCAUCCGGAAGUUCCGGUACUCCGUCAAGUUGCACACCCAUUACCGCGCUCUCCUUCCUCGCAACCGCUGGCACAUCUUCCUCACAAUACGGUUCCGUUCAAUUCAGCAGGACGUCAACUCACUAUGAAAUUUCUUCGAAGCCGACCGCGUCCAUGUCGUCACUGAGCGCUUUCCUCCUGACUCGCGGCCCACUAAGUCCUUCCUUGAGGUCUUCCCUUUUCCUACCCGUUUGGUCAAGCCUAAGGUCGUGGGUGCUGGAGCUCAGGUUGGUGCUGCGGAGGGAUGACCUUUUAGUUGGCAGAACGAGUAGAACCGGCCCAGUGAAUGCUGGUGCUAUCCCGCGUCCUAGCUACCCGUCCCAAAGGUACGAAUCCACAGCAGUUGUGAUUAACUGCGUCGGAGCAAGCAUGCGUUGGCAGAAUUGUCACCAAGGUCCAAAAGCAACCUCGCCGGAGCACAGAUACGAAAACCUCGCUGUUGUGGGUUCGGUCCGGUCGGUCCGGUCUGCUGCCAUGGCUUUGAGUCCCGUUUCGCAUCUCAAGCUUCCAAGUCUUGAGCCUCGUCUGCAUGGUUUAGUUAACGUUAAGUAGCUACAUCGAUCUUUCCGCUCCCCCUUUGGACAUAAAUGCUGCUGCUAAUCUCCAACAGAAUGACCCAUAUCGCAUAGAUCGCAUCAGAAUCUAUCCUGAUGUGUAGGCACUCAGUGGAUGUGCGAACCUGGCCUCCGUGCCUCUGACAAGAACACUUGUGGAAAGCAUUCACCGAGCGAUUGGCGCCCCACCCACGACACGGUGAAUGUCGUUGUAUCCAGUUGGUACCACUUAGUCCCUCGCUGUGAUUCAUUGCUGUGACUCAUCCCCAUCUAAUGCUCAGGCUCCUCAACAUUUCCGAACAUCGGGGUCUCUGCCGAUCGAUAUCGCUGGGAAUACCUGAGUUGGCUGCCCAAGAAAUAUUGGGACGUGCUUCUUUCCAACCCAGAAACUCCAAAACCAGAUGAGUGUCUACAUCUUCCCAAGGUAGCGGCGAUGUGGGCGAUAGAGUUGUGGGGGUCGGAUUGCACGGAUGGGGGUCCAUGAUGCUCGACGCGGAUUGUGCGGGUGCCGUGGAUCCUCGUCCCAUUUCAGUAUGGGCGAUCGAAAUCCGGGGUCAUUACCGCAGCUCGGCGCUCGCAGGGAGGUCUUCAGUCAGAGGAGCCUUGAUCUACAGCGGGGUUUUACUGGGGAAGGGUCAUUGAGAACGGUGCUUCGCUGUAUGGAUGCUCUCCGGCGGACCCGUAUACGCUCAGUCUAUUUCCGUGACUCUGCGUUCAGCGUUCCACAAUCUAUCUCCUGAACCCACGUAAGAACUGGCCGAUUCAGGUUGGUCUCCGGGACUGCCAGUGCAGGACUGGCGCCACAUACUCUCCGCUCCGGCAGAGAAAACGGGUCUACCGCAGCGCGGAGGUUAUGGGGGGGAGUGAGAAUAUCUAUGUCUGGGUCGUCCAUUCUAGAUGACAUCAUACAAAAUGUGCGACAACGAGUGAACCACUUGUGCCAUGAAUUCAUGCCCUCGGACAUGGACAAUACAUUCAUAUGGUUGUUGAUACGGUCAUAGGUUACCACAGCCCAUCUGAAACCAGUGCUCGUUGAGGGAGUCAUGUGUAUGCGAUGCCACUAUCUUUCGAGUCGAGAUCGUCAAGUCACCUGGCGCACCCGGCAUGCCCGCCCUGCGAGAACAUGGCAGGCGCGAACACUCGAAUCAUGCGUAUGUGCACUCACAUCGCAGGUAUCCCUCCAAGCUAUUGCAAAAUGGCUUUCGGCCUAGGAAUAUCCAGGUAGUGAGUAUCGGCCUUCUUUCGCUCUAUUCGUUUGGAUAUCCCUUCUUUCCGCGCAGUCGACAUGAGAUAGAUGGUUCGUCAAGCCUGUUGCUUAUCCAAUCCAGGGACACACGCAUGCGGCGGUGCCAAUGCGACGUCGUGAUCUUUCAUGUCACUACGGGGCUACGCUGUCGUGCUGGUACGAAGACAAUAAAGCGCUGUAUAUGCUACAGGAUAAUGGUGACAGCAAGAACAUGCAGUGGAUCAACGAGCAUAAGUACAUGUGUAUUAAUACGAUACAAGACAACACGAUGUCGUUUUCCAAGUAGAUGGAGUUGGGGACUAAAAGGAAUGUGCGUAUGAAUGUGAUCGGGAGUGAGCGAGUGGACGUGCUCGACGCAGCGGCAUGCGAUGCAUGCAACAAUGUGGAUGAGGAAUGGCUCAACUGAAGAAUACGAAAGGCAACGGCACACUACGUAGUGCCCUGCAGUUUUUUUUUAAUUUGAAGCAUAAUGGCUACUGUCUGACACGGCGAGGGUAGACAUCCUCGACGCGCGCGCCCCUCUGGUCCCGCGGGGCCACCGAUCCGAAGGCAGCAUCGCCCGCGAUGAGCACGUAGCCGCGGUCGCCUGCCUGUGGGGCUGCGUGCAGCCUUUGGCGGGGCUUCUCGGUUCUCGCUCGACGAUCCUGGUAAUCCUCCGGGGUGACAGGGGACGGCGUCACCGAGGAAUAGUCUGACUCGUACCCGGUGCGGAUGAGUGCAGGUGGGGAACGAGGAGCAUUAUUGGGGCGACGGUGGGCAUCCGUGAGCGCCGCGGUGUCAGUUCGUAUUGGAGGACGAGCGGUGGCGCGCUGAGGUCGGGGAGCACUGGCAACUUCCAUACGGGGGCCGCGCAGUUCAGCUGGAGGGAGGCAGUGGUAGUCGCGUUUUUCGCGGGUGCCAGACGUACGCGCAGGCAUGCUUUCAUCUCGAUGGCGACGCGAGGGUGCAAGCCACGAUGUCGGACCGGCGCGGUAGCGCAGGCGGACAUGCGCCUCGAACUCCCUCGCGGUCGCUACAUCCGGGGGCCUGAUCGCCCAGUUGAGGUUCUUGAGGAAUUCGCGCUCCAGGUGGUUCGUGUUGCGGGUAGGGAACAUGCCCUCCGUGGUUUCGGCGAGGCUCUUGUUGUUGUAUGAGAUGUCGGGCAGGACCUUCCCGGCGACGACGAGGGCGGCGAAGAACAGGGCGUGGCCUGACUUGGACGUUAGGCCUUGGUUUGCUUCCUUCAGGCGAUCCAGAUAGUACAGCGCGCAUACAACGACUGCGGAAUCGGCCUGGAGGCGGUGGAGGAUGUGCGCGAUGAACUCCUUGAGUGGUUUUGGACGGAAGUUGCUGGGGUUCGUCGGGGACGGCUUUGGGAUGCUCGGGCAUCCGAACACCCCCAUCAGCCAAUUCGCACAUAAGUUCGCAAGCUCCUCUCUCCUCCAAUACUCUGUUUGACUUCCGGAUACGUGCCCCUGUACGAGUACCGCAACGUCAAAUCAUAACCUAAUAUUGGCCUGACAGAUAUUGAUGUGGCUUACCGCAGCGCCUUGCGGGUAUUCCACAGGUGGUAGGCCCGAGAAUAUCAAUGAGUGUCGUGCAUGACGAGGCGGCAGGUAGGAAGCCAUGGGUGGAGGAGGAAAGGAGAGAGUGGAGGACGUCGUGUGGCGGCCACAUUUAUUGGCGAGGAAACUUUAUUCUCGGAUAUCCGACACGGGAUACAAAGCAGCUACCUGAACAUUCCAUCAUCAAGCGCUGGGUAUGGUCAAUGCUCAUGUAACUUGUUUGAUGAGCAAAAACGAAUAUUACAUGGUCGCUGGCAGUUCGUACAAAGCGUCAGAUGGUCCGCCUUCAAUGACUCGGACUGUGCUCAACCGCCGUGUUUUCAUUAGUACCUGUCAACACGGCGUGUAACAAUUUGACCUCACCUUGAGCAGCCUUAGACUCAUUCCUCUUUGGGCAACACUGUAAGGGUGCAAUAUUGAGGGGAGGCAAUGGGCACAAGACUCACAAGCCGUAUUGUCGUGAGGUGGUGUGAACUUUCAACUUUGCCACGACAAUAGCCAUUCGUAAGUGGCGGUGCAUCAUUGCGCUUAGUCAUCCUUUUGAGCACGAACUUCAAUAGCUCCAGCCUUCGGAGGACAUUUGAGCUCAACCACGGCCAAAGCAUAAUCAUUGUUAGCAUCGUACCUUAGGCUUUGGUGCUAAGAAUUCAGUCCGCGGUGCGGAUAGCAGCGCUCAUACUCAGGCGAGUGGCGCCGCUUGGAUGUGGAGUCCCUCCAGAGCAAUUGCAUCGUUCGCAGAGCUCAGACGUAGAACUGGGGAUCGUCGGAUACCGUCAUGCCACUCUCAGGAUAGCCUUCAUAUGUCCCGGACUACGCCAGCAUUGCAGACCUCACCAUAUCCGGAGAGACGGCGAACGCAGUGAGCGGACAGAGCGCCUCUGCGACCCGAUGUGCCUAGGUAGCAGGCAUAGCUCAGGGAUUAUGGUUUGAGAGCAUGAAGCAUCGUGUACUUACCGGCUGAGACGAACAUAAGCAACACGUUUCCUCCAAUCCGAUCGUAAACGGAGUCAUGACAAGGUAUUUCCGCGAAGUCAGAAUACCGAUAGACCACUAGACUGAGUGGUUGUGAUAGAAGACUAAUUGGUUAUCUGAGACCGUGUGGGGUCUCCAACCAUUGUGAAUACACAAAGUAAGUCGUCUCAAACGGCCAUCCGCCGCUGCCGCGUUCCUGACCCCUCCGUUCAGCACUGACCACCGGACAGCAUGUUUGGCUCACAGUAGUUCUGCCCAUGCAACUUCGUCGAGGCUCAACCCUCCGCAUUCGCCCAGCCCACUGGCUCUGAGCACUGCCAACUUUCCUCGCUUCAAAGCCUGCGGCUCGCAGCCUGUUCGGGCACGCGCGACCCGCCAGCACGCUAUAAUUACUCGAUCCAGCAGGCGAGAAGACCCUAAGAUGUCCCAUUACGAGGGGCCAGACCGACCCCCACUAUCGCCUGCACCGGCGAAACGUGUCCUCCUUGCGGCCUGCUGAAGCCCAAUCGAACCUGUCAUCGACAUGCACCCACAGCACCGCUCGUCUGCGGAGAGAACGUAAGUACAUUAAGUGCGUCACGGGACAGCCCUGGGUAUCCACUGCCGACAGCGUACCUGUCCGUCGACGGCGGCCGGCCGCGUGGUAGGAGGCCGGAGAGCUAAAGCCUAUCUUGCGGGCUCCGUGAGCCACGUUGCAAUCGAUGUAUUGAAGCGCGUGGGAGGGGGUAUAGCGGCUGGACGGGUGCGAAGAAGGCACUCAACAGGCGAUGAACCGAACCGUCCCACGGCAGUAGCCGUGCCCAAAUGGUCGAAGUAGAAGUAAUGCUAGACGUAAAUCGAACCUGCGAGCUGCCGUAGUACCCGCGCUAUCGAAGCACUCUGGGUCGCGGCGACGACGGGAAGGCGUCCGAGUCAGUUCUGCGGAUCUCCCAAUCGCGAGAGACGAGCGACAAACCUGGGUGCCAGUUGUGGAUGGAAUCCUGUGACAGCGUUCAAGGCCAUCAGACGAUGUCGUUUUCGAGAUUGACGCAGAGAGGGCGGCGUGGUGGACUCUUGUUUGCUUCAAGGUUUCCAUGGAUUGCACGUAUACCGAGUACGACCCCGGGAGCGCCGUUGCUUCCGUGACAAACAACAUUGCCUCGAGGCCAUAGGAGCCGGGGGCUGUGAUAAGAAGUAUUAAAUGGGGUCAUAUCCAGGACGACAUCAUCGCGUUUUGCUCUCACCAUACGUUCGGUGCCGUAACCUCAGUGCGAAAGGUUAGGUAAAGAGACUUCAAGUUUCAAGUAUUGGACAUCAAGGGCGACGUGCACCUGGGUAACGAGGGCCACAGCACCGCUGAAGCUUUUGUCUGACAGGGCUCGCAGCAUACGUUUGCGGCGUCAAUGCGGGCGGUAGACCGACGAGGAAGUAAGUACCUUCCACCAGGUGGUAGUGUUAUGGCCUGCAUGGGUGUGGCAUUCACGUCUGAGAAGGCCGCGGCUUCGUCUUCUAUCUUCAGGGCUACACUAGGAUGGGACGGUGGACCAUGUCCCCGCUUCACAACCAUGAGCACGGCAAGCUGUGAGAAGGGGAGCUGCACUUACGUUUACGUGUGGAGGCAUGUCGUCUUUCGGGCCUGAAGCUCCGCGUCUACAUUGAACGGUAAUUGCGAUGUCCUCCUUGGCUAAACUUCGGCCGUCGCAUUGAAAUCGUGUGCACCACACCCUUCAACGUCAUGAUGGUGCUGCGUCGCACGAUCAGAAGAUUGCUCAUUCACGUACCAUUGGGACAGCCUGCACAAUGUUGCAAAUGUAUGACCCGGCAUGACAAACUUGAGGCGCCGCGACGAUGUGCUCUCAGCAGAGUAGAGAUCGGGAGGGAUUCAGGCCACUCGGCAGUCCUCACGAUGUUGUUGUUUUCGCCAGUAUUGUUAUAGUCUGAAAAAUAAGUGAGCAGUAUACGUCCGUGUGGUCGUUGCGGUCGUUGUGGAAGCAUGUGAGUAAAUGAGUAAAUACAAAGAGGGAGCGGUCCGCGUGGGAGCCACGUGAGCGCUGUUACCUCAGCAAACCAGAUGCUUCUAGCCUUCGAUCUGCGAACGACAUUGACCGCUGUGCGCCGUUGGGGGACGAUGACAAGCCAGAACCCCUACAGAAUGCAUGCAAAUAUCAGCUCGUGGCUACGUCUCGGAAGCGACGCAAGACUUCUGACCGGACACCCGUCUGCCAACCCGCACAAUACCACACCAUAAGCAACGCGGCCUCGGACGACGUCCGUGAUGGUUGUGCGGGCUUCCAUCCUCGCCUAACAAUGGUGUUCAUCCUGCACAAUACUCAGAUCUGAACACCUUGGGAAUUCGAGCCGUCGCAAGGCCGUCGACAAUACCAGUUCUAGCUCGCGGUGAAGGAAAGCGAUGCCACGGAACCCGCGAUUGCUUGAUUUGAGCACUACAUGGCAAGUAUUAGCCUCGCGCGCAUAGCGACUAGCUAUAGCGGUCAUGCAAUGGAGGCCCCCAGGUAAGGAAACAUCCAGAACAAAGGCGUUACCUAUACAGGGAACAAGUCUCGAGAGAGCGUUGUGGUGCCUCGUGGCCUGUGCAUGCCCUGUCGGGUAAGUCGACGCCCUUGCCCUGUUUAGGCGUCAUCGCUGAAGAAGGCCCCCAUCAGGGCCACGCUGCAUAGCGGAUGCAGUCUGCCUCGAUGCAUCGCCCCGCUGCACUGGUAGCGAGCAAAAACCAGGUGUCUCGGCCACAUUAAUAUUCACAUUGACCAGCCCCAGCAGGCGGCAGGACUAUCUCGCGAGCAGGGCCCCGCAACCCCGCCCCCCCCGCCUGAUGGGCAGCACCCCACUGCUCGCGGCGGGGCGCAGCGGCUCCCAGAAGCCUUUGCGCGCUCCGCAGAACGGCCCCCAACGCCACCCGCGCACUCCGCACGAAGCCCCCCAACGUAUGUUCGCGAACAUACCAUUGGCCGGCGCACGGUCUCCUUCCCUUACUGAACGCUUCGCGAGCGCUGCCACCGGCACUGAGGCCUGAGGCCUGGGGCCUGGGGCCCAAGCGAAUUCCGCGCCGGAGGAGGAAUCGUGAAAGAGCCCUCGACAGCCGGAGAUGAGGACCGGAUCACGAUUUGCGAUCCGCUACUGGAACAGCUUGUACGUAUUGACUAGGUAGUUAAGUAGUCCAGGGGCAUUCGCGGGGCCGGCACGUCGCCCGCGACGUACUUAUAAUGCAUACGGGGACUCGGCAUCGCCGAAGGGCUAUGUAGAGGCCGCCGCCCGGCCCUGAGGCCUGAAUACUAAAUCCCGACAACGCCAACGCUGAAAAAGCUGAGGGCGGAGACAAUAAUAUGCUUCCCAGCCGUGCGGAUUGCCCCGCCGGCGAGAGCGACGAUCGCCCCUCCCUCGGGGCGCCGAAGAAGCGGGGGGAGGGGGGCAGGGCGCUCGAGAAGCACCCCCCCAAGGAACCGCGCCACUCUCGAAUCCUGGGGACCGGUCCAUGGCCAUUUGGGAGGAGGAGAAUGGAUCAGCGCGGUCGCACUUUUGUCGCGCGCGCGUGCGCCCCAAGCCCCAAACAUUCGUCGCAUCGUUCACGCUGGCGCGCGCGAGCCUUGUGGGCAGGUCGGUUCCCGCGCGACGCGCGAGCGCGAGCGCGCAGGCGUUUCGUAUGCAUUCCAUUGUCACGGAGGCGGCGCGCGGUGGCAGGUGACGGGACGUAGAUGCGAGAUGGCGCAAUGAUCAACGUUGUUGUACAUAUGUGCUUCUCGGCUGGGAACUCGCACGCUCGCUCGCGAUUAUCCCAUUUCAGGCAAACUAGCACAAAGCCUGGUAUCACUCACCUCCAAUCAAGGCUCGUAGCAUGCACCACAUAGCAGUCGAGUGACGGCAUCCAGGCUCUCCGGCACGGUGGAAGGGCGCGAGGUGGCAACGGCCAGGGAACGGAACAAUGUGCACUGAGCUGUUGGCGGGCAGCGAGCACACCUGCAGGACACGCGAUAAGAAUUCGAGGUCAGCGAAAGGUGGGACAAAGACGUCAGCUACAUGCGAACGAUAACGCACGUCGUAUGUAGGGCGAUGUCGGACGACACCGGGACGAGACCCGCGUUGUGUUGGGGUCUCUCCAGCUCUUCAUUCUGAAUGCCGUGUAUUUUGCUUUGUCGCCUCGCACAGAACGGUGGGAGGAUGAUCUUGAGACGUCGUCGCGUGGAAAGGAACUGUGCAGUGCUUAGUCCGUACGAUGCACUCCGUCGAUUCCUGAGCAUGAACGCUAGCUCGAGCACUGUUAACGAGCAUUACGAAAGCGUCCAAGCUGAAAGCCUCCCGAACUCACCUGGGCCGACAUGUGCGCGGGUCAAAGUCCGCGCACCGCUAAGUAUGUAAGUAUACGCGUGCCCACGCCCGGCCUAUCAUUCCGCUUCCACAUAGGGCAGGCCACGUGUAGCCCAGAAGCCCGUCGCCAGCGAGAACGACUGCGCCACGAGGCCUUCGCGGCGUGCGGGAUGCGCAUACAGCGACGCGCGUGAGAGCGUUGCGCUCCAGAGAUUGGAGAGAUUGGCGGGCCCUAGGCCUGGGGUGCCUCGAGUCCGGACAGCCCUGCGUAGCUGCGACCUGACUGUGGUAGAGCCUUGGCUCGGUGAAUGGGACGAGAAGGAGUCAAAGGGAGAGCAUUCGCUCUCCAGUUGAAACGAGGAGUGGACAGACGUAAGUAGGAUGCAUUGUCCAGGCAGUGUCGGUGGCUCAGUUAGCCUUCCAAGUUCCGAGCAAUCAGAGCGGGGUCGGAACCGCAUGGGCCGCCGGCAUCCUCCCAGGCGGCGGGCUCGGCGUAUCAGAAGAUGCCGGCGCGGACAAUGGUGGUGGGCGCGAGAAAGAUAGCAUGGCAAGGGCAACGUACGUACUUGGACGUAAUGUUUCCAAAUUUCCACCCCGGAGCGCCCCUGGCGCUGCGGGGUUGCGCAUAUAAUGGGGCCCUCGGCGAUAGCCUGACAACCUAUCGACAGGCAACACGGAGAAAACGUGUUUGCGUGAACUUGCAUGGAAGGGUUCGAGUUGAAAGGAUGAUGCAUGCCGACUUGCAUUGUGCGACUUAAAGAUGGGGGUUGAAAGGAUGAUGUCCUCGUCGAGGCCAAGGGGAGGUUUAGAGCAGUGCCCAUCGCGACACAUUUGCGGUUGAGAAGUCCGAGGACACGCUGUGUCCCCGAAAGAUGAACAUGCGGGUCGACUAAGUAGAGUAUGUCGUAAUCCGAUAGCCCGCCGACAAUUAAUGGUCGGAAGGAAUUAAGGUAUUGACAGACCGUGAGCAAGCUGCCGACAGCGUUCCCUGGAAACGGUGUGAUGAUGUCGUCAGUGGCGGUUUAAGCUAGCACGGAGAGAGCCCUUGAACUAAACCAUAAACGCACACCAUAUACAUCGACUCAGGUCAUUGUUUGUUCUCUGUUGCUCUUAUGUUCAAGGAGGUAUAUAUGUCGAAAAAAUGAGACUCAGUCGAGGGGUUGAUGACGGUCAAGUGCAAGCUUGAGGAGGUGUGAUCAUAACGAGGGUUCAGAUGCAGAUCUCCAGCGUUUAAACUUCCAGAUUUAGGAUGUGAUCUCUCGAAGUGGUCUGCCCCUCGGCAGAAAACCCCUCGCCUUCUUUCGAAGCUCAGGUUUCACGACCACGGCCAAGGGAUCUGGAGCUAUCCCCCUUAUAUCCAGCCAACGCGUGGCUCGUCUCUCGAUCGCUUUCGAUACUUAAGUUAGCAUUGAUUGCUUCACUACUUAUUCGGCUACAUCGUCGCCAUUCGCAACUACUCUACCAAGCCGAAGCAAACAUUCCACAAACAGCACAAAUGACCAGAGGAUAAAGUUUGAGGUCGGUCGUUUUGUGAGCCACACGCGAGUCAUCUACGGCCGCUAAGUAAAAAUCGCGUUCGCUCGCCACGGGAGUGGCUCACCUAUCUUAUCAGCCACUCCAACACACUACAACAGCUGAUAAGUAGAAGUGGAACGCCUCCCCGGAGGGCGAUCGAGACCAGGCUAUGUGCUAUUCCAAAAGUUGCAUGUCUGAUUCUGUUCGAACGCCCGGCCCCACGCGACGUUUUCUCGACACCGUCACAGGGCGGCAUUUAUGUGCCCAAGUUGGGGGGGAGUCAAAGGCACGAGGCCCCCCCUGGUUGGUGACGAAGUCGGGGAAGAUAAGUUUAUCGCGCCGUCCUAGAUUGUGCUGGCGGAAAACGUGGUGCGGAGAAUCAGAGACCUGUCAGUCACUCACGCCACGCCACGCGAGACAAGAGACUCGCCAUGGAGGCACGGCCUCCAUCCGAGUGGGUGCAUGCUAGUUAGGCGCUACUUAUGUACAUAGUUGACGUUCAGUAUGUUCGGAUGCUGUUCGAGAGCGUGCGCCAGCUGUGGGAGCGUUGCAGGAAGACAACCUGAGGGCGGUUUGCGUUUGCGAUGGGGGCUCGAUGGCGGGAACCACACCGGUCGCCCGGGCCUGUGUGUUACACCGCGAUCAGGAAUGUUUGGUGGCAAGGCACCACUCACUCUCUAGCACCAUCGCGGUCAGCACUGGCCAGUGGCCCAGCGCAGAUGACGGAAGCACGUUCAAAAUCGUAUAUCGUUGUAAAUGGCGGCCCGAAACACUCCGGUCGGACGUCAAGAGCUGAAAUGAUUAUGGGGGCUCGUAGGGGCGCGUUCGGUCCUGAUCGCAUCGAUACUAAUCGAUAAGUAGGCUCAGGUGGGAAGGCGGAACGGUAAAACCAAAACACCCAUACUUAACGAACGUGGCUGUGGAGGGCGAUCGAAGCCGACCAAGUUAAGGGCUGAAACAUGAACGUACUUAGACACAAGUAAGCAGCUCUCUGGGGCGCAUACAGUGACACACCUGUCUAAACAUAUGCGGAAGCAUAGGCCUUCCGCAUACAUACGUCGCAACUGCUAACCGAUACCCUGUGUUAGUGGAAUCCAAGUGAAACAACAUCAACAAACGUACUGCAUACAUGCUCGUCCACAAGCAUAUACAGCGCAUGGCCAUGAACGGAGCGAGCCGAGUUUGCAAAUCGCGACUGGUCUGGUAUCCAUCCGUCGCCAUGUAUUGGCAUUGCGAUGGGCGGUACGAGGCAAGACAGAUGGACACGAGACCAGUCCAAGGACUUGAAGUAUUUGGCAUGGACCACCACAGACAUGUCGAGCUCUGUUCCGGUCCUAAAGCAUGGCGUAUCAAUGUUCUGUCUGUGGUGGCUGUAAGUCAGAGAUGGACGAACAUGGCAACAACCGGUGCUUCCCUGAGUAAGAACAGUAAGUAGUACACGCACUGGGCUGUGGACAUACGAUUCCGAAGACAUAGGACCACCGCUCCGCUCAGCCGGUCCGAGUCUGAGUCCGUGCCCGAUAUCUCGGCGGCGCGCUCAGCGCCCAGUGUUUUAGUGUUCAACGUUCAGCCACCGCCGUGUGCGGCCCAGUACUUACUGGCCAGCAGCGCAGAAUCUGAACCAAGCCCCCGCAUCGAUGGAUGGUGGCGCACGUUAGGAACAUACUGCAUCCAAUGGGCGUCAGCUGAACAGGCGCGUGCGUUGCGGCCACUGGUCACCGGCCACCGGCCACCGUCAUGAUUGCGAUUGCGAGGCUCACCGCGACAGAUCGACGUUUGGCCAAACGCAAAUUGGACGUUUGGGCCGCCCCCGACUCGCGAGCGGGCCGCGUGAUGGGGCUUGGAAGUGUUUAGCGUGCCAAACUCAAGUUAUUAACGCCAUCGGAGGGCAGCAAUUAAGCAUAGGCCUCAAGGCACGGCGCGGCACACAGCCUGGUUCGUGCAAUAGCGCGAAGCGCGCGAGCGGUCGACGACCGAAGACGACCGACUGUCAUGACUCGUGACUCGAACUUGAAGUUGGUCACGGCCGGUUUGGACGUCGAGAGGGGAGAGGGGAAGGAGACAGGAAUGAGGAUCAUGACGACAUCCAGGGACUGCCGAGGAUGCGGAAUAUCAGAGCAAUAAAGUAGCUCCUUCCAGCCCAACCGGGCGCGCGCCUAGAAUAUCUGAACAGAACAGAAAGACAGAGAGAGUAACUAUCGCGAGGGACGAACCGAAGCGCUCCCUCGUCCCGACUCCCCGAGCCCUCCCGCGCUCGGCGCCGCCCUGAUCGAGCCCCGCCCGCCCGUCCGGGCCAAUGACGCACACACGCCCGCGCAUAUACGUAUACAAUAUCGCCAACACUCAAGUGCGCGAUAAAGCGCGUUCCCGCGUCGGCUCUACUUAACCAGCUUUGCACUUCUGAUUGCACGAGGGAUGAUGGCGUCGCGCCUCGCCAAAUAGGCAAAUAUGUGGCCCGCGCGGCCACUAUCAAUGUCAUAUUAUUCGCAUAUCGAGUCGGUACAGGUCAGUACGUACUUGCGUCUUGCGCGCGGCAAGGCGGACACUCGCGUCGCCCGACCUCCACGUCCUGCAAUUACUGUAAUAUUGCGCGGCCGGAAGCGGGCAUAUACUGUACGUUACGUUACGUAUGGCGGAAGAGACGUACCUGGUGCCCCUUACGUAGUACGCACGGGCCCGCCUGCGCAGCGAGGCCGGCCGCCGGGUCGAGAAGAGGUCGACGGUCGACAGUCGACGUCAAGGGGGGCGGGGCGGCCGCGCAGCCGCGCCUGCGCGCCAGAAAGAGAAAGAGAAAGACCGUCGGCUGAGCGCUUGGGGGCGUGAAACGUGGAACGCAGAAGCGCCGGAUCGCGCGUGGGGGGCCCGCUGUCACCCUCGACCGAGUGUAAGGCUGUGCGCGGGCGGGCGACGGCCGAACUGGUGUCCCACGACUCCCACCCUCCAGGCGCGAUUGCCAAAAAGGCGGACUCGGGACUCGGGAGGAGGCCGCAGACGGAACUGCGUCUGGGGGCCCACCCGCCGUCGCGGGAUCGGUUGCGAUCGUGAUCGAGAGCCACUUUGGCGGGUGCGAGCGUUUGCCGACGUCAGCCAGCGAGCGUACCGAUAGGGGCUCGAGUCAAGCUUUGGGUUGCAGCGUUUUCUUGUUUUCUUUUGAAGUGAAGUCGUCUGCAUGGGGCGAAAGGCGAUCAUGAGCUUGGCGAAACGGGGCGGGCAGGCAGGGAGAUGGAGGUUAUUAUCUUUCUGUGUAUUCCGGGUCGGCGGCGGGUGUGUGCAUAAUAACCUUACUACCUAGUGCGAGAUAGAUACGUAAGCGCGAGGAAAGAGAGCGAGCGAGAGAGAGAAGGAAAUGUACGUCUUGGGGAGGUUCUUAGUACUAGUUAUACAACAUGGUUGGAUAUACGGAUAUUGCGGCGGUGGAUACUUGUAUGAUGUAUGAUGAGUGUGGGCAUGCGUGCGUGCGAUGAGCAAUGAGAUGAGGCGAGACGGGACGAGACAUGGAUGUGGACACAACUGAACGCAGAGCAACCCCAAUCCCAAAAACCGGAGGGUGUGAAGCAAAAGGCGUAGGGAGGAGGGGUAUAUGAUACUUAUGUCCGAGAAGAUGAUGUGCGAUGCAAGACGGAGGAAGUAGGGGGAGCAGCAGCAAUAGGGCACGCGCGCGGUGUGUAAUGUAGGCGGCGGGCAGGCACGGUCCACAGCAUGGACAAUCAAGCAAAGCAAACGCAAACGCGGAGCGUCUACCACACGCACGGGCUCGCGCGCGCGAAAAUGUCCCCGCACUUGGCCUUCUUGAGGACAGCGGGGACGUUACGCGCGGCGGCGUACGCGACAGCGGCGCUCGACGACGAUGCCGAGGACGACGACGGGUACGACGUAGUCGUCGGCGACUGUGAGUCGAUGUUCAUGGGGGUGCCGAUCGUUCCGCUGGACACGACCCGAACGGAGUGGUCCUCAUACCCAAGUGGUGUAGAUGGCGAUACGCUCGACGCAGGUGACGUCGACGUCGACAUAGACGACUCGGGAGUAUCAGGAGUCCCGGGGGUGUGAGGCGAGGACGAGGCGGAGUGUGGGGCGGAACGCGGGGGUGCGCCGGCGUGUACAGGGACGGGAGGCGGUAUCGGCUUCGGUGGCGAAGUUGAUGGCGGCUGCUGCGAGCGCGCAGCGAACGAGGGCGUAGGUGCAGCGCCGCCCGUCUGUGCGCUGUACGGCGUCGUGGAGGGCAUGGGCGAGGGCGCGGGAGAAGGGAGGACAUAUGUCGGAUACGGGCCGAGGCCCUUGAAGUCGCGCCGCACCUUUGCCUCGAACUCCUUCAGCGCGUUCGGCUCGAUGUUGAGCUGCCACUCCAGGUAGGAGCACAUCUCGCGCUCCAUCUGGUUGAUCUCCCGGAGGGCGAACAUGCCCUGGCCGACGAUCGACCACGACUUGUUCGAAUACGUGUCGUCGCAGAUCACCUUGGACGCGAUCAUGAACGCCGAGAUAAAUAAACGAUGGCCUGAGGAUCC
rnacentral:lncRNA from 1 species